UGGGGAAUAUUGGACAAUGGGCGCAAGCCUGAUCCAGCCAUGCCGCGUGAGUGAUGAAGGCCUUAGGGUUGUAAAGCUCUUUUGUCCGGGAAGAUAAUGACUGUACCGGAAGAAUAAGCCCCGGCUAACUUCGUGCCAGCAGCCGCGGUAAUACGAAGGGGGCUAGCGUUGCUCGGAAUCACUGGGCGUAAAGGGCGCGUAGGCGGACUUUUAAGUCGGAGGUGAAAGCCCAGGGCUCAACCCUGGAAUUGCCUUCGAUACUGGGAGUCUUGAGUUCGGAAGAGGUUGGUGGAACUGCGGGUGUAGAGGUGAAAUUCGUAGAUAUUCGCAAGAACACCGGUGGCGAAGGCGGCCAACUGGUCCGAAACUGACGCUGAGGCGCGAAAGCGUGGGGAGCAAACAGG
rnacentral:rRNA from 1 species